CCUACGGGUGGCAGCAGUGGGGAAUAUUGCGCAAUGGGCGAAAGCCUGACGCAGCGACGCCGCGUGAGGGAUGAAGGUCUUCGGAUCGUAAACCUCUGUCAGCAGGGAAGAACGGUCACUGUGCUAAUCAGCAGUGAAUUGACGGUACCUGCAAAGGAAGCACCGGCUAACUCCGUGCCAGCAGCCGCGGUAAUACGGAGGGUGCGAGCGUUAAUCGGAAUUACUGGGCGUAAAGCGCUCGUAGGCGGUAUGUCAAGUCAAGGGUGAAAUCCCCGCGCUCAACGUGGGAACUGCCUUUGAAACUGGCAAACUGGAGUGUGUGAGAGGAUAGUGGAAUUCCAGGUGUAGGAGUGAAAUGCGUAGAUAUAUGGAGGAACAUCAGUGGCGAAGGCGACUAUCUGGCACAUAACUGACGCUGAGGAGCGAAAGCGUGGGUAGCAAACAGGAUUAGAUACCCUGGUAGUC
rnacentral:rRNA from 1 species